GUGAAGGAGCUGGUUUUGCGGCAUCUGUUGAACUUAGUCAAAUUAGGUGUGUUGUGUAUGUACCUUGGAGCUGAAAAUGUAACAUUAGCUCUAGAACUGGUUGCCUAUACUGAAGAAAUACAGGUUGGUAUUUUCAUCCCACUACUGUACAAUUUAUGUUAUUUUGUACAAUAUUCAUUUGGGGUAUUUGGUCUGUUAUAUUUAACUUCAUUUCUCUUCACAUUAUUGCCACGACAGAUACAUAUAUAGACUGAGGCUUGUGUCUCCUGGGUGUAGCUCUCAUCACCAUAACAAAGGUAUGCUGUCCAUUCUUAUCUUUUUUUUUCCAAUGGCAUUAUGCUUAUAACCUCUCUGAUGAAAUGGUCAAACGAAUAUUUGUAGUUGAAUCAUCUUGAUGCAUAAUAGAAGAGUUGCUGGGUUUGGACAUGAGCAUGAUCAAUUAUUGUGGCCUUGCUGUUUCUUGAAAGAUAGUGUGCAAAAAGUUUGUUUUGCUCUUGGAAGGUGUGUGUGAGAGUUUGAGAAAAAAACUACUGCUUUACUUAUGUUUCAACUCCGGUGAGGCAUGUUUGUACAGGUAGUGAAAAUAUGGUGCUUAUGAUUCUCUCGCUGAUUUGGGGAUUUUGAUAGUAGAAUGUGGUUCUAGCCUGGUGCUGCGGUUCAUUCAGUUUCAAGGGAAAUGAUAUAUGUGUGGUUUCUUUGCUUUACAUAAGAUGCAUUAUGUGUUGUCUUCAUCUUGGUAACAUGUGGGCAGAUGUGAUACAUUCUUCAUGUUUCUGGAUUUGGUGCAGGUUCGAGGGUGUAAAUCUACCUGAUAUAUUGUUGACGGGGAUUGAGUAUUGUAGUGAUAUAUCUGAGAAUUUUAAUGAUCUAUCUGCUACCAGGUACUGUACUCAACACAAUUUUUUUGUGUGUGAUUCAACUCAUUUAACUUCAUGUUAAUUUGCUAACAAACCUCCUGCUGCUACAGAUUUCUUUGUACAAUACAUACAAAUUAUUGAUAUGGUAUUUAAACAAUGAAUAAUAGAUGUAAUUAUCCUGUAUGUCAAAUCUACUACUGUUAUUCUCAUAUGGUGAAUCUAAAUACUUCUUUGUAUCUUAGUCAUGAAAGUUCAAAGGCAAAUUUCCGUUGAUCUCAUUAAUUAGUGGUCUGAUUAACUCUCUCCCUCUCACCUCACAUGUAAAAAGAGAAGGUAAGAGGGACCAUGUUAAAAUGUGCCGUUGAGUACAUCCUGCAUCAGUGAGAUAUCAUGCUCAUUAUACCUCAGAGUUGCUAAUAUUUUUCUUUUCACAUAUAGUCCUCUCCUCUUGUCCCCGUUUCUCCAAUGAAAACUGUACUUCAGGCCAAAUGCUGAAGCCUUUACCUUCUUAAUGCUCUGUUUUAUUUGUGUUAACAUGUAUUCCUCAUGAUUACUGUGCAUACUUCUUUUUGAUUUUCUGUAUAGACAAUGAAGGAGAUGGACAAACAUAUAGCUCUAUGGUGAGGUACUAAUUCAACUUUUCUGGUUUUAAUUACCAGUUGUUCUGUGUUCGACUGAGCUGCGUAUAUUUCGUGUUAGCCUUUCGCUGAUUUUAGAACUGACCGCGUUUUGAUGAUUGGUGGUUACAGGGUUGCAUGGAGUACGAAGGCUUGUAUGCUGCAAGAGAUUUAGACACCCAGUUGCUGAUCUUCAGCCCCUUGAUGUUGGUUUACCAAUCUGCAUUCCACACUCUUCAAAGGUUCCGAGGAAGGUGAGUUUUGUAAGUACCAGUCUCUGCAAGAACGCUAAUCUCGGUUCAUUUUCCAUAAAUUUGCAAUAGUUUGUUAUUUGCCGGGACCAACUUUAACUAGGUUGAAAUAAUGAUAUUUUUUGUUCAUUUUAUCUGUUUGUAACACUCUACGUUUUAUUAAUGCAUGAUAGGUGCCUCUAUCAGCCAUUUUUGAACCAGAUAUGCAGCAGCAAGGGAGUAGCCCUAUCACUCUCGAUCAAAACCUCAAAGGGCGAAGGGAGAACGCAACAACAUUCUUCUAUGAUAGUUAAUGUUGUCCCACCUAUACGUUUUAUUAAGGCAUGAUAGGUGCCUCUAUCAGCCAUUUUCUACCAUGUACGGCUGAUACAUGUUAACUGCCAGUUUGUACAGGUACACAGUUGUGUGAUACCCAUGAAUUUUAGUCAGAGUAAUUAUAUGUUCUGUUAUCAUGGUCACUAGAUUUUGUUGAGUACCUUAGUGCUCAACUUAGGAACAACUAAUUGCCAUCUUAGGUCACUGCAUUCCCAAAAUAACUAUGGAAAGUUUACUUUCACAAUACAGUCACAUAUCCAUGUCCCAUUUUUCUUUGUGGUUUCUAUCUAUAUAUUCAGAUUGGACGCAUUUAUAUUGAGUACUUAGAAAUUUACAUAUGUUUCCAGUUGCAUUUUAGUUUAGACAUGCUCUGAUAAUAUGCAAAGUAUGUGGCACAAAAUGAUGGUGCUGGUGUUAUCAAUGGGGUCCAAGGAAAUUUGCACAAAAAUUUAAACAAAAUGAUUAUGCCAUCAAUACUUUCUGAAGCCUUCAACUUUCUCCCUUUUGUCCCUAAACAUGUCCUGUGUUUACGCAAGGUGCAGCAGCAGCAGGUCAUCCACUUCUACCCAAGUUGCCAUGGAAAAUCUAAUGGGUUUACGACUAUCUCAGUUCAUAAUGGUGUGAGCUUUGUAGGAGUGGGAUAUCAUAUACAGUAUGAUAGAUAUGGAAGACAACAAGCAAAAAUUCAAUUAUGAGGUGAUGGUUGAGCUGAUCAGUACAACGUUGUCCCGAAUUUUCUUUUGAUUCUGUUUCUUCUUGGUUUGCAGAUGAUCGGCUGUUUCAAUCUUUUUCUUCUGCUUACAGUCCACCAACAGGAUUGUUGAUGCCCGCAGGAGGGGGACAUCGCAGUAGAUGGGCUGAAGUAGGAGGCUGAGAGAAAUGGGAAACAACGGAUUCUAGCACAUAGUAGAUGCCUAAGAUGUCACUGAAGCGCUAUUGAGGUACAUUCUGAUAACUACAGUUCUAUUGGACAACACUAGCCCCUAUAGUAACAUAUAUGGUCUGAGAUUUUUCUAGGAUCAUUCCUCCCAGGUGAUUACAAACCUGGUCAUAAUGUAGCAUAAGCUAAAUCAAAUCCAGAUUUUCUUC
rnacentral:lncRNA from 1 species